GAGAUUUAAGCGUUAUUUAUACCCUAACACUUCAGGCUAGGCUAUUACGCUUACUACCCUAUAUGUGUGUUGUAUACAGUAUAAGCUAUAUGGCCAUUUAGACCUGAAGGUCUCACAUGAGACUGCAGGUUUGCCAUUGAUAUUGUGGAUAGUUCGGUAUUUCAUUGGCCUGUUACAUUCUGUGAUGACUCUGGAUAACUUUACUGAUCGCAAUCGGCCUUGUGUCAGCGACGGAUCUUUCUAGUGUCUGCCCUAUCAAUUUGUUGGUAGGUGAUUUGCCUACCAUGAUGAUAACGGGUAACAGGGAAUCAGGGUUCGAUUCCGGAGAGGGAGCCUGAGAAAUGACUACCCCAUCCAAGGACGGCUGCAGGCGCGAAAAUUACCCACUCCCGGCACAGGGAGGUAGUUA
rnacentral:ncRNA from 1 species